AAUGCACAAGCAGGUUAAAGGUCACAUGGUCAGCUGAUCCUUCCUGAGUUUUAUAGUGAGCUGAAGACUGCACGACUCACAUGUGUCAGUGAACGCACCAUGGCUCUGGGCUGCACCAUCCUCAUCUGGACACUGGCCUGCUGCUGCUUCACAGGAUGCAGUGGUCAGGUCACAGUCACUCAGCCUCCAGUCCAGAUGUUUACUCCAGGAUCCACCGUCACCCUCACAUGUAAAACUAACAAAGAUGUUUAUGGCAAUAAUUACAUGCACUGGUAUCAGCAGAAACCUGGUCAGACUCCAAAGCUCUGGAUAAAAUAUGCAACACAACGUCUGUCAGAAACUCCAUCUCGGUUCAGUGGCAGUGGGAGUCACAGUGACUUCUCUUUGACCAUCACUGGAGUUCAGGCUGAAGAUGCAGCAGUUUAUUACUUGUCAGAGUUAUCAUAGCGGUGGUGUGUUCACACAGUGAUUUGUGCUCGUACAAAAACCUCCCUCAGUGAGUCGUU